UACGUAGGGUGCAAGCGUUUGUCCGGAAUUAUUGGGCGUAAAGAGCUCGUAGGCGGUUUGUCGCGUCUGCUGUGAAAACUCGGGGCUUAACCCCCGGGCCUGCAGUGGGUACGGGCAGACUAGAGUGCGGUAGGGGAGACUGGAAUUCCUGGUGUAGCGGUGAAAUGCGCAGAUAUCAGGAGGAACACCGGUGGCGAAGGCGGGUCUCUGGGCCGUAACUGACGCUGAGGAGCGAAAGCGUGGGGGAGCGAACAGG
rnacentral:rRNA from 1 species